CUGGGUCUGGAAUUGUAGGAUCACGUUCUUUGUAGCCGUGGCUGGGGCUGUAGCCGACUUUGGGAUGGGGAACAUGCCCUCCAGCGUCACUGCCUUGGCAGACUUCGGGGUCAACAAUGCUGUGAUGAGCCUGUGUGCAAAGUGUGGUAGCUCUGCAUCAGGUAUAUCAUGCUUAACACCUCUGAUCUUUAGGUGUUUCAGGCGGCGUUUGUCUUCCAUUGUGGAGAGUUUCAGCUCAGUCAUUUGGUUCUGCUGUUUGAGCUCUUUAAUUGCGUGCUGCAGCUCCUGUAUUUGGUAGUUGUGGGUUUCUAUAGGGGUCUCCAUGACCCCGAGCCUGCCGCCUAUGCCCUGUAAGGCCUCCCGGAUUGAAGCCACCUCGGCCGAGAUUUUUUU